AGUGAACGCUGGCGGUAGGCCUAACACAUGCAAGUCGAACGGCAGCACAGUAAGAGCUUGCUCUUACGGGUGGCGAGUGGCGGACGGGUGAGGAAUACAUCGGAAUCUACUUUUUCGUGUGGGUUAACGUAGCGAAACUUACGCUAAUACCGCAUACGACCUACGGGUGAAAGCAGUGGAUCUUCGGACCUGGCGCGAUUGGAUGAGCCGAUGUCGGAUUAGCUAGUUGGCGGGGUAAAGGCCCACUAUGUCGACGAUCCGUAGCUGGUCUGAGAGGAUGAUAAGCCACACUGGAAGUGAACCACGGACAAGACUCCUACGGGAGGCAGCAGUGGGGAAUGUUGGACAAUGGGCGCGAGCAUUAUACAGCGAUCGCGCGUGUGUGAAGACGGCCCUCGGGUUGUAAAGACCUUUUGUGGGGAAAGAAACGCUUCCGGUUAAUACCCCGCGGGACUGACGGUACUCAAAGAAUAAGCACCGGCUAACUACGUG
rnacentral:rRNA from 1 species